rnacentral:rRNA from 1 species
CCUACGGGUGGCAGCAGUGGGGAAUAUUGGGCAAUGGGCGCAAGCCUGACCCAGCAACGCCGCGUGAAGGAAGAAGGCCCUCGGGUUGUAAACUUCUUUUAACAGGGACGAAGAAAGUGACGGUACCUGUUGAAUAAGCCACGGCUAACUACGUGCCAGCAGCCGCGGUAAUACGUAGGUGGCAAGCGUUAUCCGGAUUUACUGGGUGUAAAGGGCGUGUAGGCGGGAGAGCAAGUCAGACGUGAAAUUCCAGGGCUCAACCCUGGAACUGCGUUUGAAACUGUUCUUCUUGAGUGAUGGGGAGGCAGGCGGAAUUCCGUGUGUAGCGGUGAAAUGCGUAGAUAUUAGGAGGAACACCAGUGGCGAAGGCGGCUUACUGGACAGUAACUGACGUUGAGGCUCGAAAGCGUGGGGAUCAAACAGGAUUAGAUACCCGGGUAGUC